rnacentral:rRNA from 1 species
UACGUAGGGUGCAAGCGUUGUCCGGAAUUAUUGGGCGUAAAGAGCUCGUAGGCGGUCUGUUGCGUCGGCUGUGAAAACCCAAGGCUCAACCUCGGGCCUGCAGCCGAUACGGGCAGACUAGAGUUCGGCAGGGGAGACUGGAAUUCCUGGUGUAGCGGUGAAAUGCGCAGAUAUCAGGAGGAACACCGGUGGCGAAGGCGGGUCUCUGGGCUGUAUCUGACGCUGAUGCGCGAAAGCUAGGGGAGCAAACGGG